rnacentral:tRNA from 1 species
GCUUGGAUUCCCGAGCGGUCAAAGGGGUCGGUCUUAAGCACCGAUGCUUCGGCUUCGUGGGUUCGAAUCCCACUUCAAGCA